ACAGGCGAGGGCGUUCGGCGACGUUACUGGGGCUGCACGGUGCUUGUAGCUGGGCAGUCUUAUCAUCAGAGUGGAGCCUGGUAACCACGACCUCCCCGCCAGGUCCUGUGUGUUGCUAGCUGGAGAAGGGUAGUUGAAAACUCAGACCAAGCACAGUGUUUAUAUCGGUCAAAACUGGAAAACUAUGUCCGGGCGCAGCCGAGGCUGGAGGAUCCCUUCAGGCCAAGAGCAACCUAGCAAUAUGGCGCGACCGGAUCUCUGUAGUCCUACCUCAACCCCCAGCUACUUGAACCCCAAGGUUGAAGGCUCCAGUGAGCUAUGAUCCCACCACAGCAUUGCAGCCUGCCAGACUGAGACAUGAACUUAUGAAUUCAACACAUGAAGACUUACAACUUGAUAAACCAGCUUCAGGAGAUUGAGAAAACUUGUAUUCCUGUGAUUUCGAUAGUGAAGGAAGUAUGGUAUACCAGAAUCACUAAAUUAUGAAAGAUGGUAGAUCAGCUUUUUGCAAAAAAAUUUGGUUCCUGAAAGGGAGAGAGGAAAUCUUCGAUUUUUCAUGGCUGUGAACCACUGCAAGUAUUGAAGAAAUAUUUACUACUUCCAGCCUCAUAAUCCUGCAGUCAUUUGGCACCUCUGAAGCCUUGGGGAGCACUGAAGCCAAGGCUGCACCGUACCAAAAAUUUGAAACAUGUGAAUGAGCUGAAUGUGGAAGGACUACCGGAAAACACUCCUUUCAGAAUCCCCUCAUUGCAUGAAAUCCCAAGGCUCGAAAACAUCUUUCAAGUGAGCAAUUGAAUUAAGUUUGUUAUUAAGAGUAACUCCAGUUAGCCUCCAUUGUCUCCAAGCCGGCUUUUGUCCUCAUCCACAACGCCUCCACACAAGCUCUGAACACCUGUCCAUGUAAAAAUAUCAAGAAAUGCUGAGGCCCAUGUCCCAGAACAACAGUCCUUUAGGUGGAUCACACAUUCUCCACUACACCAAGCUCUACUCACAGGUUGGAGACACGCUUUUUGCAGA
rnacentral:lncRNA from 1 species